AGGUUUACAGCCUGCCGCCUGCCUCGGCCACCUAACC
rnacentral:tRNA from 1 species